GGGUUGUGAGGUUAAGCGACUAAGCGUACACGGUGGAUGCCCUGGCAGUCAGAGGCGAUGAAGGACGUGCUAAUCUGCGAUAAGCGCCGGUAAGGUGAUAUGAACCGUUAUAACCGGCGAUUUCCGAAUGGGGAAACCCAGUGUGACUCGUCACACUAUCAUUAACUGAAUCCAUAGGUUAAUGAGGCGAACCGGGGGAACUGAAACAUCUAAGUACCCCGAGGAAAAGAAAUCAACCGAGAUUCCCCCAGUAGCGGCGAGCGAACGGGGAGGAGCCCAGAGCCUGAAUCAGCAUGUGUGUUAGUGGAAGCGUCUGGAAAGGCGCGCGAUACAGGGUGACAGCCCCGUACACAAAAGUGCAUGUGCUGUGAGCUCGAUGAGUAGGGCGGGACACGUGGUAUCCUGUCUGAAUAUGGGGGGACCAUCCUCCAAGGCUAAAUACUCCUGACUGACCGAUAGUGAACCAGUACCGUGAGGGAAAGGCGAAAAGAACCCCGGCGAGGGGAGUGAAAAAGAACCUGAAACCGUGUACGUACAAGCAGUGGGAGCACCCUUUGGGGUGUGACUGCGUACCUUUUGUAUAAUGGGUCAGCGACUUAUAUUCUGUAGCAAGGUUAACCG
rnacentral:rRNA from 1 species